AACAACGGCGGUGGUGGUGGCCGUUGCAACAAUCGCUGGUGCCCCCGGUGUCAAAUUUGCAAAAACUGGGGGCAUGAGGCCGAUGAUUGUCGCAAGCGCUAUGACCAGGACCACAACACUCGCUCCGCCAACUCGGCCUCCACCAACACCAUCGACUAUCCUUGGGUACUGGACACCGGGGCUACGGAUCACCUGACGAGUGAUCUGGAACGCCUCCAGGUUCACGAGCGCUAUGAUGGCAAGGACCAGGUUCAGGUGGCCAAUGGUGCAGGUUUGUCUAUUUCACACAUUGGUCAUUCCCGUUUACCCGGUUCAUCUCUUAAACUGCGCAACAUCCUU
rnacentral:rRNA from 1 species